UGCAGUCGAGCGGACCUUUCGGGGUCAGCGGCGGACGGGUGAGUAACGCGUGGGAACKUGCCUUCCGGUUCGGAAUAACCCUGGGAAACUAGGGCUAAUACCGGAUACSCCCUUAUGGGGAAAGGUUUACUGCCGGAAGAUCGGCCCGCGUCUGAUUAGCUAGUUGGUGGGGUAACGGCCUACCAAGGCGACGAUCAGUAGCUGGUCUGAGAGGAUGAUCAGCCACACUGGGACUGAGACACGGCCCAGACUCCUACGGGAGGCAGCAGUGGGGAAUAUUGGACAAUGGGCGCAAGCCUGAUCCAGCCAUGCCGCGUGAGUGAUGAAGGCCUUAGGGUUGUAAAGCUCUUUUAUCCGGGACGAUAAUGACGGUACCGGAGGAAUAAGCCCCGGCUAACUUCGUGCCAGCAGCCGCGGUAAUACGAAGGGGGCUAGCGUUGCUCGGAAUCACUGGGCGUAAAGGGCGCGUAGGCGGCGUUUUAAGUCGGGGGUGAAAGCCUGUGGCUCAACCACAGAAUGGCCUUCGAUACUGGGACGCUUGAGUAUGGUAGAGGUUGGUGGAACUGCGAGUGUAGAGGUGAAAUUCGUAGAUAUUCGCAAGAACACCGGUGGCGAAGGCGGCCAACUGGACCAUUACUGACGCUGAGGCGCGAAAGCGUGGGGAGCAAACAGGAUUAGAUACYCUGGUAGUCCACGCCGUAAACGAUGAAUGCCAGCUGUUGGGGUGCUUGCACCGCAGUAGCGCAGCUAACGCUUUGAGCAUUCCGCCUGGGGAGUACGGUCGCAAGAUUAAAACUCAAGGAAUUGACGGGGGCCCGCACAAGCGGUGGAGCAUGUGGUUU
rnacentral:rRNA from 1 species